ensembl:lncRNA
UUAAAACAAACAUUCUUUAUUCUGCGAAUAGUGUAUACACUAUUACAAUAUAACAAUUAAACAAGUAACAAUCAUAUUUUUUUGACAACCAUAAUAACAGUAAAACAGUAAUAACUAGAAAAUGCAUUUCCUGCAGAAAAAUACAGUGAGUUCAAAAGUCUAAAUGAUGUAAACAUGCAAACCAUUUAAGAAAUGUAAAUAGUUGGAAACAAAUAAAGUGCAGCAGAAUGAAAAGCGCAAAGCAUUGCUAAAAAUGCUGAAAUGUCGGUGUGUGAUUAAAAGUAGCCCAAUAGAGCGGGAAAAAUCGCCCAAUCUGGCAAAACUGCCGGAACGUCCUCCAAAAGUAGCCCAAUCCGGCGAGAAAAACCGCCCAAUCUUGCAACACUGCUAAACGUCUGCACGAUCCAGCGUCAACGUAAAUCAUUGAGACCAACUGAAAUCUAUUGAGUUACGAUGUCUUAAAAAGUAGGUGUGUCAGAAUGGGCAGACAUCUUCAAUGAAAACAGCUGAAAACAAAGCCGGUAGGAAACUAAAACUGAUUCUGAAGAAAUUUUAAAUUAUAGCGAAAUUCCCUUUAGAUAUUAUUGAUAAUGCAAGUUAGUUACGUCUUAAACAGAUGAAGUACCAGAGUAGGGAGGCCUCCCAUGUUAAAAAAAGACAGUAUUUUAAAAGUAGAUUAUCUUAGAAAGUAUAAAAUACUUAUAAAAUCUGAAAAAUAAGCUACUCUGAAAGUUUAAAACUUAAAACUCUAGGUGAAAAAUUGAGGAAGGAGAUAGGUCCCAAAGUUUGUGGAGAAUAAUAAAGAGGAAAGAAAGAAAGAAUAAAACUUAUGAAGAACAAUAGUUGAGCGCUGCAUGCAGCACUCACCUAUGACAGUAUGAUGAUAAUGUUGGCUAGACGUUGCAAAGAAUCAAUGUCCAAUCAUGAUCAAAAGACUAAAAUAUGAAAUAAAGAGGAGGUAAAAGAAAGGUUAAACAGAAUUAAAGGCAAUAGAGUAGUGAUGAGGUUUAAGAUUUGAUUUAAAAAGAUACAGAGGGGGACAAUUUAAGAAGAUCGUAAAGGUCUAGGAUGCUUACGUAGUGGAAGUAAAUCAGUUCAAUAUUUUUGACCCUAAACCAUGUAGAGAUCAAUAAAAAUUGCUGAUUAAAAUCAAUUCUCUGACAUUCAGGGAGCCAAUGUAGUGAUUUAAGGCGAGACACGGCAGGUGAAUAGGAUUUUUUUUUUAACUUACAGAUAUCUUUAUGAAACUUUACCGGUUGAUUAACCACAUGAUUAGAAGAAGAAAAUGCAUUGGAAGUUUUCUGUAAAUGUAUGUUAAGAUAUGCUAAUUAGGCUAUAUCUAAUAAAAUAUGCGCAAAUGUGUAUAUAUUUUGAUACGAAGAAUCGGACCAUUGGAAAAAGCCAGGCUUAAAAUUAUUUUUUCAUGUUGUUUCUAUAUUAAAUAGAAAAAUAUUUACAAAGGGGAUUAUAGAUAUCUCCUUUCGUUAUCCAGUUAAUCUGAAAAUACUGCCAAUGCCUUAAAAAAUGUAUUGCCGCCCUAUUUUUAUGUAUAAAAUGUCAUGUAAAUCAGGCCAAGAAUGAUAUAUCAAAUCCCACGGUAACAAUCUUCAUAUAGUAGCUGAGAAUAAGAUUCUAAAGUUUGGUGCAUGUAGGUGCUACAGAAGUGGAGAUUCCUUGCUUGGCGUGCGAGGAAAAACUCAUUUUGAGAAAACGGCCUUUAAAGAUUCUUAUGGCAAAAGCUAACCAGGAAGCUUGAGAGCAUACCACGUGAUACAUUGGAACCAAUCGUCUUGUCGGAAAUCGAGUACAGCCAAUCAGAUAUCAGUUUUAUGUUGUGCAGCAGAUCGAGUGCUUUCCAACGAUACCACGGAACACAUAUGACAGAGACCGGUUGUAAUAUGUGUAAAAUUGUAAUAUUCUGUAAAAUUCAGAGGCGGAAGUUGACAAACUAUAACAAAACAAUCACCUAAAUGUUUUGUUUUGACUUUUUUUUUUCUUUUGUGUGAAACAUUACAUGUUAGUGGUGCAAAAUAGCCCAAAAUAUCAAAAUUGACCAGUGACUGAAAAAUCGAUGAUUUUGCCUGCAGUGUCUCGCCUUAAGAAUUGUUGUAUUACGUUCAAAUUUUGGGGUAUUUGUUAGAACUCUAACAACAACAACUCUCAGCAUUCUGAACAAUUCUUUUUUACAAAAUAAACCUGAGAAUGGUUGGAGAAAAUGCCAGAUAAAUGGAUUUUCCCCCAUCCCUAACAAACAAUAUGAGUAGCCCUGCACUGAGAGGCAUCAGGGCUCGCUCUGGACACAGAGAUGACAAUAUUGUUGCUUAAGGUGACUUUAAGAAAGCAGACUUCUUUCAGGGCUAUCUCCAAUUUGUCGAUGGUGUCGCAGCCCUCGUCCAUUGCCUCCUUCAGCAGGUUCCUGACAUGGUCAUCUGUCAGCUCCAAGAACUGGUCAGACUCCCUGACAAACACCUUCCCAUUCAGAACCCGUUUUAAGGCCGCCUUGCCGUACUUCAUAUCGCAGAGCCCACAGUCCACGUACUGGCUAGGGGGGAGGUCCUCCAGCAGGUGGUCCCGUGGGCAGGAGAACUUUUCCUUCAGACGGACGCCGAGGAUCUCCAUGGUGACGGUCCUCAGGGGGGGUUGCGGAUCGUAAGGUGGAUAAGGGGUGCUCGUCUGGGUGGACUGGAUGUUAGAGGGGACAUUCACAUUAGUGGGGAACCGCCAGGCUCAGAGAGAGACCUGCUUCACAAAAAUCAUGGACGGCAAAACCAACUCUGAAGCCGCAAAAUAAUUGCGGAAAAGUUGGACUAUUGACGUAAGUGGUCCUAUUAGGACCAAUGGAGGACACGAAUCCUCUACCUAUCAGCCAAUGGUCAAAGGUCCAAAUUUUGAGUUGAAGCCGAGUUAAUGUUGCAGGCUGCGUAUGAUGCAGUCAAUCACCUAGAAAAUCAUACCCAUCUGCAUGCAAAAUAUCUCCAGAAUGAGGAACGUUCCAUUGUUCAAAGCAAGGGAUGUAUUCUGAGAAGACUGCUGUACCUUUCCUUUCUCCUUAUUGGGCAGCAUCUCGUCCGAGGUGACCAAUGGUACGCCGAAGUGCGGAACCUUGAAACUGGAGGAGUCUGUGAAGAGUACACUAUCCGACCAGCCCCGUUUCAGUCUCUCCAGGACAACAAGACUCCUAAAAGACACAACAUUAGCAUCUGUUAUCACCACACCCCCAAUGAUAAAACACACACACUAAAUUCCCACUAUGGUCUGGUAGUCUGGUAGAUGGCUUUCUAUAGAGCCAUCGUUUUGUCUAUAUAUUCCUACACAACAGGUGAAUUACAUAGUAGGAGAAGGCCGAGCUCCAGUGUGAAGGUUCCGCAGACAACUGACUUUCAGGAGUGGAAACUGACACUUUUUUUUGCAGUUUCUAGACCAAUCAAAAAAAAUAGCCUUUCUUUACCACAAACGGCGGAAAUACAUUGUGGUGACAUAAAAC